CUGGGCUGGGAGAGGCCAUGGCAGGCAGGAGCGGCUUCUGGCUCCUGAGGUCUCUGGGCCUCAACCGGUGGCUCUGAUGGUACGUGGUGGGGCCUUGGCCACACAAGCUCGGAGCGCGCACGUUGGGGGGGCCCCCGAUCCAGACUGGGGGGAAUCAGGGAGGGCUGCCUGGAAGAAGUCACUCGCAACCUGAGACAGCAAGGGUGGGAGGAGCCGUCCAGAUGGGGAGGAGAAGGCGGCGAGGGAACGCCAGGCCCAGGUAGAAAGAGCAGCCCCCGUCCUGGGGGCCGACGGAAGGCAGCGUGGCCAGAGCACAGCGUGGUGGAGAGGAGCGCGGGGCGAGGAGCCUGGGCUCUGUCCCGGGGGCCGUGGGCAUCCCUCCACGCCAGGCUUAGUGCCUCCUGCUGCAGAUGUCGUGCUGCCCCCCGCCACGGCCUGCGGUGACCAGGGGUUUGCAUCCAGGGCCGUGUGGCCCAGAGACAGGAAAUGAGCAAAUGAACGGAGGGCUGGGGAAGCAAGUAAGGAAAUGAAAGGCAGUGUCGGGGAGGGACUCACGCCAGGCCCCCAGGAGAGCGGGGCGCCGGCGCGCACCCGCAAAGAUGCCAGGCGUCUGCAGACCCGUGCCGAGCAGUCUGCAGCCCGGGGCGCUGAGACGUUCAGGCCUCGGCAGGCACGGCCGUGGGGAGUCUUGGUACCCACCCCCUCCUCAGGAAUUGCACGCCCGGGAGAAGCCUCCACCUUCGACAGCAAGCAUCGCCCUCACUGGUAGCUGGAACCUCGGCCCCUGGGGAGCAUCACUGAAGGCAAGAAGCUGUUUAUUAUAGACAGGCCAGCCAUCUCCACCCGACAGAUGGCUCAAGAGAGGGACGAGCCCAGUGCCCCGGACAGAGGGCCCUCUCCCGUCCCCGCCGAGCCAGGAGGGGCUGGCCAGCCUCCCGCACUGCUCGUCGCCCACUGAAGACAGCUGUGGAAUCUGGGACGAGCUGGGGCCCCGGUCGCCAGGUGGCAGGGGAAGUGAAGGCCUGGCCUACAAGGUGGCCCGAGCCCACCCCGCCCCACCUGACCGGUAUUCACACGCCAGGCACCUGCAGCCCGUGCCUCAGCUCAGGGGAGGCACAGCCCCCGAGCGCCCCACGUCCACCCUCCUAGGCUCUCAGACCAACAGGGACCCUGUCCUCUCGUCUUGACCCGCCCAGCCAGACACAGGGCCUGCGUGGGUCCUGCCCCGGAGGCUGCUCUCCGCUCUGAGUCCACGUGGGAUUCCACAGCCGGGAAGUCGAGGCAUCUGCCCAGCUACACCCACACCCAGCAGAAAAGCCUCAGCCUCUGUCGUGGACCCACGGGACGAAAAGCCCUUCGAAGGCAUGGACCACACUCGUCCUCUUCCCUCAGGAGACAUCUGACAAAGCAACCCUCCACUCUCCUCCAGGAAAGCCGGUCCCCCAGGGGAGCGCUCUCUCACAUCGGUCAGAACUGCAAACUCACCGGGCUUUCUCUUCUUGCAGUGGCUGCUAGGAAGCUCGGGCUCACGUUAACUGACGCGCAACACGUUCUCGGGUUCCCGAGGUGAUGCUCUUUCCCCUCCCUUCUAGAUUAUCCCUGAGCCUUUUCUUUCGUUUCUGUGUUUAAGUUCUGUUUCAGUGUUUUUUUUUCUAGAAGAUUCCCAACUUAGGCGCAGAAUAUGUCUAAUUGUGAACUGUAGCCAGCCACCUGACCCUGUAUAAUACAUAAAUAUAAUAACACACAGACGC